rnacentral:rRNA from 1 species
GACAGAGGUUGCAAACGUUGUUCGGAAUUACUGGGCAUAAAGCGCACGUAGGCGGUUCGUUAAGUCAUGUGUGAAAUCCCCCGGCUCAACCGGGGAAUUGCGCCUGAUACUGGCGGGCUAGAGAUCGAUAGGGGUGAGUGGAACUCCAGGUGGAGCGGUGAAAUGCGUAGAUAUCUGGAGGAACACCGGUGGCGAAAGCGGCUCACUGGAUCGAUACUGACGCUGAGGUGCGAAAGCUAAGGGUAGCAAACGGGG